UCGACUGUUUUUACAAAAACAUUUCUUUAUGGUUUUUUUUAAAGUAAAACCUGCCCACUGAAUUUUUAAAGGGCUGCGGUAUUUUGACCGUACUAAGGUAGCAUAGUCAUUAGUUUCUUAAUUAGGAAAUUGUAUGAAUGGUUAAACUAAAAAGUUUUUUAUUUAUUUUAUUUUGUGAAAUUAAAUUUUUAGUGAAAAUGCUAAAUUUUUUUAAAAAGACGAUAAGACCCUAUAGAGCUUUAUAAUUAUUUUUAUGUUUAAAUUUGGGGGGAUUUAUUCAUAUUUAUAAUUGUUUAGUUGGGGCAACUGUAGAAUAAAAUUAACUUCUUAAAACUUAUUUAAAAAUUUUGGUUUAAACUUUUUAUAAAAAAAUUAAAAAGUUACCUUAGGGAUAACAGCGUUAUUAUUUUUUAGAGUCCUUAUCGAUAAAAUUGUUUGCGACCUCGAUGUUGAAUUAAGUAAAUCUUUAUAGAGCAGUAUUUAUAAAAGAUAGUCUGUUCGACUAUUAAAUUCUUACAUGAUUUGAGUUCAGACCGGA
rnacentral:rRNA from 1 species